UUAAGUGAUUAAGCGUACAAGGUGGAUGCCUUGGCAAUCAGAGGCGAAGAAGGACGUGCUAAUCUGCGAAAAGCUUGGGUGAGUUGAUAAGAAGCGUCUAACCCAAGAUAUCCGAAUGGGGCAACCCAGUAGAUGAAGAAUCUACUAUCAAUAACCGAAUCCAUAGGUUAUUGAGGCAAACCGGGAGAACUGAAACAUCUAAGUACCCCGAGGAAAAGAAAUCAACCGAGAUUACGUCAGUAGCGGCGAGCGAAAGCGUAAGAGCCGGCAAGUGAUAGCAUGAGGAUUAGAGGAACCGGCUGGGAAGCCGGGCGGCACAGGGUGAUAGCCCCGUACUUGAAAAUCAUUGUGUGGUACUGAGCUUGCGAGAAGUAGGGCGGGACACGAGAAAUCCUGUUUGAAGAAGGGGGGACCAUCCUCCAAGGCUAAAUACUCCUGAUUGACCGAUAGUGAACCAGUACUGUGAAGGAAAGGCGAAAAGAACCCCGGUGAGGGGAGUGAAAUAGAACCUGAAACCUUGUACGUACAAGCAGUGGGAGCCCGCGAGGGUGACUGCGUACCUUUUGUAUAAUGGGUCAGCGACUUAUAUUAUGUAGCGAGGUUAACCGAAUAGGGGAGCCGAAGGGAAACCGAGUCUUAACUGGGCGUCGAGUUGCAUGAUAUAGACCCGAAACCCGGUGAUCUAGCCAUGGGCAGGUUGAAGGUUGGGUAACACUAACUGGAGGACCGAACCGACUAAUGUUGAAAAAUUAGCGGAUGACCUGUGGCUGGGGGUGAAAGGCCAAUCAAACCGGGAGAUAGCUGGUUCUCCCCGAAAUCUAUUUAGGUAGAGCCUUAUGUGAAUACCUUCGGGGGUAGAGCACUGUUUCGGCUAGGGGGCCAUCCCGGCUUACCAACCCGAUGCAAACUGCGAAUACCGAAGAGUAAUGCAUAGGAGACACACGGCGGGUGCUAACGUUCGUCGUGGAGAGGGAAACAACCCAGACCGCCAGCUAAGGUCCCAAAGUUUAUAUUAAGUGGGAAACGAAGUGGGAAGGCUUAGACAGCUAGGAUGUUGGCUUAGAAGCAGCCAUCAUUUAAAGAAAGCGUAAUAGCUCACUAGUCGAGUCGGCCUGCGCGGAAGAUGUAACGGGGCUCAAAUAUAGCACCGAAGCUGCGGCAUCAGGCGUAUCACUAAUACGCCUUACGAUUAACAACUUGCGAAGGAAGAGAGCAAGUUGGUUAAGCGACCAACACGUUGAGUCGGCUGUAAGCGAGAGCGAACAGAAAGGCGCGAGUGGAGCGUGAGGAAUAUUAGUGAUACGCCUGUUGGGUAGGGGAGCGUCGUGUAAGCGGAAGAAGGUGGUGUGGGGACGGAGUAGGUUAGGUUAUCGACCUGUUGGAAAUGGUCGUUUAAGUUGGUAGGUGGAGCGUUUAGGCAAAUCCGGACGCUUAUCAACACCGAGCAACGUUAAUCGGGGCAGGGUGAGUCGGCCCCUAAGGCGAGGCUGAAGAGCGUAGUCGAUGGGAAACGGGUUAAUAUUCCCGUACUUGUUAUAAUUGCGAUUCGAGAGGGCUGCUGGACGUAUCACGAGUGCGAAUGCUGACAUAAGUAACGAUAAAACGGGUGAAAAACCCGUUCGCCGGAAGACCAGGGUUCCUGUCAGAUGAUGACGAGGCGCUAAGGUGCCGAAGUAACCGAUACCACACUUCCAGGAAAAGCCACUAAGCGUCAGAUUAUAAUAAACCGUACUAUAAACCGACACAGGUGGUCAGGUAGAGAAUACUCAGGCGCUUGAGAGAACUCGGGUGAAGGAACUAGGCAAAAUAGCACCGUAACUUCGGGAGAAGGUGCGCCGGCGUAGAUUGUAGAGGUAUACCCUUGAAGGUUGAACCGGUCGAAGAUACCAGCUGGCUGCAACUGUUUAUUAAAAACACAGCACUCUGCAAACACGAAAGUGGACGUAUAGGGUGUGAUGCCUGCCCGGUGCUGGAAGGUUAAUUGAUGGCGUUAUCGCAAGAGAAGCGCCUGAUCGAAGCCCCAGUAAACGGCGGCCGUAACUAUAACGGUCCUAAGGUAGCGAAAUUCCUUGUCGGGUAAGUUCCGACCUGCACGAAUGGCAUAAUGAUGGCCAGGCUGUCUCCACCCGAGACUCAGUGAAAUUGAAAUCGCCGUGAAGAUGCGGUGUACCCGCGGCUAGACGGAAAGACCCCGUGAACCUUUACUAUAGCUUGACACUGAACCUUGAAUUUUGAUGUGUAGGAUAGGUGGGAGGCUUUGAAGCGGUAACGCCAGUUAUCGUGGAGCCAUCCUUGAAAUACCACCCUUUAACGUUUGAUGUUCUAACGAAGUGCCUGGAACGGGUACUCGGACAGUGUCUGGUGGGUAGUUUGACUGGGGCGGUCUCCUCCCAAAGAGUAACGGAGGAGCACGAAGGUUUGCUAAUGACGGUCGGACAUCGUCAGGUUAGUGCAAUGGUAUAAGCAAGCUUAACUGCGAGACGGACAAGUCGAGCAGGUGCGAAAGCAGGUCAUAGUGAUCCGGUGGUUCUGAAUGGAAGGGCCAUCGCUCAACGGAUAAAAGGUACUCCGGGGAUAACAGGCUGAUACCGCCCAAGAGUUCAUAUCGACGGCGGUGUUUGGCACCUCGAUGUCGGCUCAUCACAUCCUGGGGCUGAAGUAGGUCCCAAGGGUAUGGCUGUUCGCCAUUUAAAGUGGUACGCGAGCUGGGUUUAAAACGUCGUGAGACAGUUUGGUCCCUAUCUGCCGUGGGCGUUGGAGAAUUGAGAGGGGCUGCUCCUAGUACGAGAGGACCGGAGUGGACGCAUCACUGGUGUUCCGGUUGUGUCGCCAGACGCAUUGCCGGGUAGCUACAUGCGGAAGAGAUAAGUGCUGAAAGCAUCUAAGCACGAAACUUGCCUCGAGAUGAGUUCUCCCAGUAUUUAAUACUGUAAGGGUUGUUGGAGACGACGACGUAGAUAGGCCGGGUGUGUAAGCGUUGCGAGACGUUGAGCUAACCGGUACUAAUUGCCCGAGAGGCUUA
rnacentral:rRNA from 1 species